AACGCUAGCUACAGGCUUAACACAUGCAAGUCGAGGGGCAGCAUGAACAAAGCUUGCUUUGUUUGAUGGCGACCGGCGCACGGGUGAGUAACACGUAUCCAACCUGCCCAUAACUCAAGGAUAGCCUUUCGAAAGAAAGAUUAAUACUUGAUAGUAUAUUUUAGCCGCAUGGUUUUAAUAUUAAAGAUUUAUUGGUUAUGGAUGGGGAUGCGUUCCAUUAGGUAGUAGGUGAGGUAACGGCUCACCUAGCCAUCGAUGGAUAGGGGUUCUGAGAGGAAGGUCCCCCACAUUGGAACUGAGACACGGUCCAAACUCCUACGGGAGGCAGCAGUGAGAGGAAUAUUGGUCAAUGGGCCGGAAGGCUGAACCAGCCAAGUAGCGUGAAGGAUGACUGCCCUAUGGGUUGUAAACUUCUUUUAUAUGGGAAUAAAAGACAUUACGUGUAGUGUUUUGUAUGUACCUUAUGAAUAAGCAUCGGCUAAUUCCGUGCCAGCAGCCGCGGUAAUACGGAAGAUGCGAGCGUUAUCCGGAUUUAUUGGGUUUAAAGGGAGCGUAGGCGGAUUGGUAAGUCAGUUGUGAAAGUUUGAGGCUCAACCUUAAAAUUGCAGUUGAUACUGCCGGUCUUGAGUGCGGUAUAGGUAGGCGGAAUUCGUGGUGUAGCGGUGAAAUGCUUAGAUAUCACGAAGAACUCCGAUUG
rnacentral:rRNA from 1 species